AUUGAACGCUGGCGGCAGGCUUAACACAUGCAAGUCGAGCGGGGGAAGGUAGCUUGCUACCGGACCUAGCGGCGGACGGGUGAGUAAUGCUUAGGAAUCUGCCUAUUAGUGGGGGACAACAUCUCGAAAGGGAUGCUAAUACCGCAUACGUCCUACGGGAGAAAGCAGGGGAUCUUUGGACCUUGCGCUAAUAGAUGAGCCUAAGUCGGAUUAGCUAGUUGGUGGGGUAAAGGCCUACCAAGGCGACGAUCUGUAGCGGGUCUGAGAGGAUGAUCCGCCACACUGGGACUGAGACACGGCCCAGACUCCUACGGGAGGCAGCAGAGGGGAAUAUUGGACAAUGGGGGGAACCCUGAUCCAGCCAUGCCGCGUGUGUGAAGAAGGCCUUAUGGUUGUAAAGCACUUUAAGCGAGGAGGAGGCUACUUUAGUUAAUACCUAGAGAUAGUGGACGUUACUCGCAGAAUAAGCACCGGCUAACUCUGUGCCAGCCGCCGCGGUAA
rnacentral:rRNA from 1 species